rnacentral:tRNA from 1 species
AGAGGUGUCGCUCAGUGGUAGAGCACUUGCCUAGCAUGCUUGAGGCACUGGGUUCAAUCCCAGCACCACAU